CAGCCGUAAACUAUGCUCGCUAGGUGUCAGGCAUGGCGCGACCGUGUCUGGUGCCGCAGGGAAGCCGUGAAGCGAGCCACCUGGGAAGUACGGCCGCAAGGCUGAAACUUAAAGGAAUUGGCGGGGGAGCACCACAACGGGUGGGCCUGCGGUUUAAUUGGACUCAACGCCGGGAAGCUCACCGGGUAAGACAGCGGAAUGAUUGCCGGGCUGAAGACUCUGCAUGACUAGCUGAGAGGUGGUGCAUGGCGUCAGUGACU
rnacentral:rRNA from 1 species